rnacentral:rRNA from 1 species
UAACCUGCCCAAGAGACUGGGAUAACACCUGGAAACAGAUGCUAAUACCGGAUAACAACACUAGACGCAUGUCUAGAGUUUAAAAGAUGGUUCUGCUAUCACUCUUGGAUGGACCUGCGGUGCAUUAGCUAGUUGGUAAGGCAACGGCUUACCAAGGCAAUGAUGCAUAGCCGAGUUGAGAGACUGAUCGGCCACAUUGGGACUGAGACACGGCCCAAACUCCUACGGGAGGCAGCAGAA